GUGCUUGUUUCUACAGCACAUAUGCUAAAACUGAAAUGAUACAGAGAAGAUUAGCAUGGCUCAUGAGCAAGGAUAACACACAAAUUCUUGAAGCAUGCCAUUAAAAU
ensembl:snRNA U6 U6 spliceosomal RNA